rnacentral:rRNA from 1 species
AGCGAACGCUGGCGGCAGGCUUAACACAUGCAAGUCGAACGGGCACUUCGGUGCUAGUGGCAGACGGGUGAGUAACACGUGGGAACGUACCUUUCGGUUCGGAAUAAUCCAGGGAAACUUGGACUAAUACCGGAUACGCCCUUCGGGGGAAAGAUUCAUCGCCGAUAGAUCGGCCCGCGUCCGAUUAGCUAGUUGGUGAGGUAAUGGCUCACCAAGGCGACGAUCAGUAGCUGGUCUGAGAGGAUGAUCAGCCACAUUGGGACUGAGACACGGCCCAAACUCCUACGGGAGGCAGCAGUGGGGAAUAUUGGACAAUGGGCGCAAGCCUGAUCCAGCCAUGCCGCGUGAGUGAUGAAGGCCUUAGGGUUGUAAAGCUCUUUUGUCCGGGAAGAUAAUGACUGUACCGGAAGAAUAAGCCCCGGCUAACUUCGUG